GCCUGCAUGAGAUGCUUUCCAAAUUUCCACGAGGCUGACAAGUGGCAUUCCAUGAAAAGUCAGGGAAAUUUGCAUUCGCAAGCAUUUGCCAGCAUUUGUAGAAACCCAUGGCAUACUAGGUAGGGACUGAGGAGGGAACAAGUUUCCUCAGGGGUCCUAAGAAAACCCUGGCCACAGUUUGCUCCCUGACAGAGUUCAUUACUUCCACACAAAAGAAGGGCCUUGAGGAUCUUUGCCAUGUUUGCCUACAGCUGUGAAAUCAGAGACGGCCAGGAGCUGCUAAAUCCCUAGGAAUUUCCUGGGUGACAGGAGUGUCUUCUGUUGUAAUGAGGUGACUUUUUGUGGGUUCCUGGAUGGGCGCUGGCCACUCAAGAGACCAGCGUGGAGAGGAGAGACAGGCUGGAGAUGGAGUUCAUAAUGAAUCGUGCUUACGAGAUGAAAAUCCCUGAACUGCAGAGUUUGGGAAACUUCCAGGCUGGUGAACAAGAACACGUCCACACUCUGGGAGGGAGUGCACCCCAACUCUGCAGGGAAAGAAGCUCCUGCAUGGGGAUCCUCUGGACCUCGCCCUGUGCCCCUCUUCAUCUAUCUUAUCCUUUAUUAAACAGUAAACUGGUAAACCUAA
rnacentral:lncRNA from 1 species